rnacentral:lncRNA from 1 species
UCCAAGCUAACUCCUGACACCCUAAAAUCCUAUCACUGUGUAGAAAAGUAGAAGUAUUAAUGUUGCCUGCAUCACAUGGGGAUAUAGUAUCUGAUAAUGAUGAGCGGGUUGAGUGCUAGCAUGUAACACAGGGCAAGGAUAAAAUAAUGUCAGUUAAAAGUUAAAUUUCAAACUCACUAUACAUGUUCAUAUGCAUAUGUAUAUAUAGUAGAUGUUGGGGUAGGGAACAAGGUUUAGCAUGAUAGUAAAACAUUAUCUAGGACUAUGUAGCUAAGCUGUCAUAAACAGGCACCCACGGGCUAUAUGGGUUCAGCUUUCCCUGCUAAAAGAGCCCCAGUGUGUGUUAACCGCAUGAACCAGAGGCAUCAAGGAAGACCAAAAAAUGCCCCGAGCCCACGUCAACCUAGAUACAAAAUGUAUCAAUAGUGUGAACCAUACACACGGUCAUCUAGACCAACCCUCAAGUCGGUAAAUGUGAGUUUCCAGUAUAAGUCAUUCAAGACUCACACCUUCACCUCUUAGCUACAUAACACCCAUUAAUCCCAAUUAAAACAACUUUCACAUAACCCAUUCAUUAACCAAGGAAUCAUAUAUUAAGGCACACCAUGGUAUUGUCAUACCUAUUUAGCUUGCAAGCUUAUACUUAUGCCAUUACAAUUCCAUUAACUUGAGGGAAUGCCUCGACACCCUUUGUUCAUUAUAUCAAGUUGGAGGAAUGCCUCAACCUCCUUUAGUUUAUCAAAAUAAAACAUAGCCAACAAGGCUUCAAAAUCUAUUUUUAUUGUUUAAUCAUUUAUGUAAUGCUAUAGUAUAGGUUAGUAAAUCAAACUAAGUGACAAUUCCAUAAUUCAAAGCCAUUUACACAAGUGGGUUCAGGGAAUACAAUUAUUCAAAAUUAAUUUCCAAGUUCAAAACAUCAAUUUGAGGGAUUUUAUCGACCCUCAUUUUAAUUCCCCCGCCCAUGCACCCUAUUAGUUCAAAAACAUCCACUUCAAAGCAUGAACAACUCAUGAAAACCAUGGGAAAAUAAUUCAAGGAUCAACCAUUUCAAAACCAUCAACCCGUGUUAAAACUCACAUUAAAAUCCAUACAAUUAAACCAUUUAAAAUACGUUCUUUUCACAAAAUAAGAUUUGGAGAAGAGUAACAUGCUUGAGAUAUUACGAUUUACGAAAAGAAAUUAACCCUUGGAAGUUCUAGAGACCAAUUUCUUAAAACCCUAGCUUAUUCAUGCCUUAGGGAUUUAAGAGAGUUUAGGAGAGUGUUGAUGACUGGUAGGUAUUGAAAAUAAUGCCCAAAGGUGAUUUAUGGUUGUAGGAUCUAAGUAGGGGAAAAGGGAAAUGACCAGAAUGUCUUUAAUAAAUAGACUAAAAAUUAACCACACAAUCGCUACGGGUCACAUGAUGACUCAUAAUGACUGGAUAUGAGUCAUUUCUUAGACUCAGAGUUUGGUCAGUAUCAUAGGUAUGCACACUGGUCUGACUAUGAUUCGUACCUUAUAACUCAUACUCAGACCUUAUGACUCGUAUGGUCUAGUUGUUGUAUUGGAAGAAACAUUUAGGCAUCCUUACUGGUUAGGCUACGAAAACCGCUAUAUGACUUGUAAUGGGUCUUGACAACUCAUUGGGUGAUAAUCAUGACCAAUACAAAGACUUUUCCAAACACACUGGUCAGGCUACGAUUACAGUCCUACAACUCAUAUGAUAAGUCUUAGUCUGGGCAGUGAGCUCAGAGGUUAAAAAAAUUUUAAGGGCCAAAAUCUGGGGUGUAAGUAUACAUUCAUAAUUUAUCAAAGUCUAACAACUAAAUGGAAGAAAAGACAUAUUUAUAGUCUAGGGUUAAUUAUUACAUCAUAUGGGCCAAAAAAUUAUCCAUUUGGGAAAGACAAAGCAUAGAAGCCCAUUAAGAAUUCCCUUAGGCAAUCCAAGCACACAUGGGAUGCAUCUUCAAGUCAUGUGAGUUAUUUUUGACCCACUCUAGCAGAUCUAGAGUCGGUUGGGCACACCUACAAAGCAGAUGGGGUGCAUUCUCCUUUCGGGGGCUUUCUAGCCUCAUUUUGCCUUUCUUUGGCCUCUUUAAUAUCUCUCGUUCCUCCUCAAUCAUCAUAAUAAUUCAAUUAGCACCUUUUGGAUAGAACCAAUGAGCCUUCAAGUGCCUCUUGAACUAUAAGCCUCUUCUCUAAUAAUCUGGAGGCCAUUUGGAUUGUAUUACAAUACAAGUUAUGGCAUGGAUUUUAUUUCCUGAUCUUUUACCUACUUUUUUUGUGAUGAAUCACUUUUUUCAUUAGAAGAAACUAUGGGAAAAACCAUCCAUCUUGAUAUGUCCACUAUUAACAAGGCCCGACCUAGUUGUGCGAGGGUGAAAGUCCAAAUUGAUUUAGCAACUAAGUUACCUGAUAAAGUGGAGAUAGAAGUGAAUAAAACAAAAGAAGCAAGGAUUCAAUCAGUCAAAACUCGAUAUGAUAUGCUUCCUAAAUAUUGUUUCAAGUGUAAAGUUCAAUGUCAUGAGAAGGUGGAGUAUAGAAUUUUACAUUCAGAAUUGAAAAAUUAUGUGCAAAAAAGACAUAAAUAGGAAGUUAGUUUUUGCUAAAUGGAAUCCUACAAGUCAAAAAUUUCAAAUUGAAAAAGGAACCAACAAAUUUCUAGAUAAUGUUGUAGACAUGAAAAAUGAGGAAAAGGUGUUACAGGCCAAUAAAACAAUCAGUACUAAGAACUCAUUUGGCAUCCUUCAACAACAAGAUGAAGGCAGUUAACUUACUCAAGCUACGGGAACAAUGACCUCAAUGGUGGAGGGAAAGGAAAAUAUGAAGAAGAAGAAAAAUAAUGUAAAAGAAAAGCUGAGUAACAUGCAAAAUAUAGAUCAACAUAAAUCUGUUUAGUAGAAAUAAAAUAGGAAAAAUAUAUAUUCCAUGAGUUAAUAUGGAUAAUCAGGUGGAGGGAUGUAUUACAACUGACAAGGACAACAUCAAUGAGACUAGCAACAAUAGUUGUUCAAUGGGAACUGCAGAACCUAUUCAUGAUAAAUAUAUGAUAUUAAAUGUAGUGGAUCACAAAGAUACUCAACAACUUACAUGUACCAACAAAAAUCUAAGGAAAAGAGGCAGAAGUAUAUUGCUAGAACAGGGGAAUGUAGGUGUAAAUCAAAAUAAAUUACAUAGUAGUGGAAAAUACAUAGAAGACAUUCAUAGAAACAAAGAAAGUCCACAAAUGCAAAAAAAAAAACAUGUUGAUUAUUGAUAGUCACAGUGCAAGAGGAGGUGAUAUUGUGAAUAAUGAUAUACCUGAUGACAUACAUUCAAAUAGGGUUCAAUUAGCCCUUGCUCAAGCUACAUAAAAUGAGGCACUUUAGGUGGAUGAAUCAGGUGUUAGAGGUGAUGAGGGAUUUCUUCCAAAUAGCAUAGAAGGGGAGGCAAGUAAUCUGGCAUUAGCAGCAUUGAAAAAAUCAAACAACAAAAAAUUACAUAAUUUGGUUUCCCACCAAAUAACAAAAGAGGUAAAUCAUGAAAGUACAGAUACAGAUGACAUAUGGAUAAAAGAUACAGAAGAAGGAAAUAAUCAAAAAAAACUAAACCAAGUAAUGAAAGAAGCAGGUUUAUCACCACGUGCAAAUAACAAAGGUAAAAAGAGUAGGAUCAAAGUUGAAAAGCCUACAAGGACCAGUUCUAGGAGGGGUGGUAAAGCCAGCAUUCAAUGAAUUUAAAAGCACUUUUCUGGAACAUCAGAUUAGUUAGGUCACAACAUGUUUUCCACAUAGUACAAAUGUUACAUAGGCAUCAUAUUACUUUUAUUGCUUUGAUGGAGUCUUUUCAAGAUAUCAGACACAUAUAGAGGUAUAAAAGAAUAUUGGGCAUGAAAUAUACAAAUUAUAAUAUGAAUGUAAAGAUAUGGAUUUUUGUUUAAAAAAAUAUACAGGUGGAGACAUUAGCAUAUUCUGAUCAGCAAAUCACAUUUUAGCUAGUUGUUCAGAAUGAUCAAUAGGUGAUUAUUAUAGCUGUUUAUGCUAAAUGUGAUGUAAGUGAAAGAAUUGCUUUAUGGGAUCUAUUUACUCAUUGAGUCAUAAUGUUAGAGUAUCUUGGAUGGUAAGGGGACUUUAAUGUUAUCAUGAAUGAAGAAGAGAAAAUUGGAGGAUUACCAAUGUAUCCUAAUGUAUAUGAACAUUUUGCUUUCUACAUCAACCCCUGUGAUCUAUUUGAUAUUAAUUUAAAAGGGAGUCCAUUCACUUAGUGGAAUGGUAGGGCAGAUGAUCCAUGUAUUUUUAAGAGAUUAGACAUAAUCGUUAUUAACUAAGAGUUUUUGGGCAUUAUGGGGCGUAUUGAGGUUGAACAUCUAUCCAGGACACGAUCAGAUCAUGCUCCUUUGUUAUUCUCUUGUAGUGAUGAAAAUGUUCAGUUUCACAAGCCUUUUAGGUUUUUGAAAUUUUGGACUGAGAAAGAGGACUUCAAAGAAAUGGUAAGAUAGAAUUAGGUAUCAAAAAAAUGUAGGCAUAUCUUUAUCAAUUUAAAGCAAAAAAUGAAGAAAACCAAAAUGGCUCUAGCUUUAUGGAGCAGAUUCAUGUUUGGAGAUAUAUUUAAAUAAUUAGUCAUCAAGAAAUACAUAGUAAGAAUCAAAAAUGAUUUGUUUGAAGAAAGUCCUACUACUACUAACAAAAUAAUUUUUCAGAAGGCACAGGCUGAGUUGAGGUAGUGUUUACAUUAUGAAGAAGAGUAUUGGAGAUAAAAAUCUGGUAUUCAAUGAUUUUCAGAAGAGAAGGAAAUAUGAAAUUCUUUCUGGUGAAUGCUAGAAGGAAAAAGCUAGAAAUAACUAGAAUUUAGAGAGUUGAUGGUUCUUGGGUUGAAGAUAAUAAUUAGGUAGCUGUAGAAAUAAUUGAUUUCUACCAGAAAUAAUUCACUGGAUCAGUUGAGUCUGGUGCAUAUUCUUUUAUUAAUUUGAUUUCUACCCUAAUCACAAAAUAAGAGAAUAAUUUGUUGAAGGUUUGUCCUGACACUGAAGAAGUUAAAAAGGUAGUUUCUAAACUGAAUGGGGAUAACGCUUGUGAGCCAGAUGGUUUCACUGGACAUUUUCAUCAGUUUUGAUGGGACAUUGUUAGUGGUAAUAUUGUGAAGGUAGUUCAUGUAUUUUUUAUGUAAUGACACUGCCUAAAUCUAUCACUCAUACUAAUUUGGUUCUAUUGCCAAAUAAAGAGAAGGUCAAGAGAGAAGGUCUUGACCUUCUUUGACUUAAGACCUAUUAGUUUGAGUAAUUUUCCAAACAAAAUCAUAUUUAGAAUUCUUCAUGAUAAAUUAUAAGGUUUCUUACCUAGGCUCUCUCAAAAUCAAUCUGAUUUUGUUAAGGGAAAAAUUAUCACAGAUAAUGUAUUAUUGGCCAAGAAAAUUAUAUGCGAUAUUAAAAAAGGGAGUAAGGCUGCAAAUAUGGUAAUUAAGCUUGAUAUGACCAAAGUCUACGAUAGAGUGGAGUGAAAUUUUUUUAUGGAAAUGUUGGAGAAAAUGGGCUUCUCAAAUGUCUUUACUGAUAUGAUAUGGAGACUAGUAGCCAAAAAUUGGUACUCUAUCCUAAUAAAUAGGGAAGUUCAUGUCUUCUUCCAUUCUUCUAGAAGAGUAACGCAAUGGGGUCCUUUAUCCCCUUCUUUAUUUAUUAUUAUUGCUGAAGUUAUAACAGGGCACUUAAUAAUUUAUUCUCAUAUGAUGAUUUCAGGAGUUAUGGACUGACUAAAUAGAGUGAUCAAAUAAAUCAUCUUGCUUAUAUUGAUAAUACAAUAAUAUUUUUUUUGCUGACAGGUUUUCAUUGUAAUUAAUUAUGCAGAUCUUAAGAGAAUAUGAAAACCAAUCGUGUCAACAGGGAAAAGAGUGCCUUUUAUGUACAUAACAAGGUUACUCAUGCACAUGUUUAAUUGGUGGAGCAUUGUACUGGCUUUUCCAAGAGGUAAAUUUCCAUUGACAUAUCUGGUUGUGCUAUUGGACAUGCUAGGAAAAGAAAGAUUAAUUUUUUAGAGCUAUUAAAGAAGGUACAAAAUAAACUUCAGUUAUGGAAAGGCAAACUAUUAUCAUUUGGAGGUAAAGUUGUGUUGAUUAAUAAUGAUUUGCAGAGUAUCCUCAUUUAUCAAUUAUUCGAUCUUAUACCUCCAAAAUGUGUGAUUCAUGAUCUUUAUAGAUUUUUUGCUAAAUUUCUAUGGAACUUUAGAAAAAGAGGGAGGAGUAAACACUAGGUCUCUUGGACUAAUAUAUGUCUACCAAAAAAGGAAAGUGGUAUUGAUUUUAGAUCUUUUUUUUAUGUGUCUAAAUCCUUAUUUUCAAAGCUAUGGUGGUAUUUUAGAAUACAAAAAAAUAAUGUGGACUAAUUUUAUGAGAACAAGUACUGUAAAAGGCAUAGACCACAAGUAGUUGAAUGGAAAGGUGGUUCUCAAGUUUGGAAGUUUAUGUUACAGGCUCGAGAUUAUUUUGACCAAGAAAUAUGGUGGAAAUAUAAGUGUGGACAUGUUAGUAUUUGGUCAGAUAAUUGGACUCAAAAGGGAGCUUUACACUAUUAUCUCCCAUUAAACUAUAAUAAUAAUGGAUGAUUGGAAGAUGUGCAUCAAUUAAUGAAUCAUGAUGGGUGGAAUAGGGAUCUACUUAAGGAAAUUUUUUCUGAAGAUAGAUGCAAUCAUGUACUUAAUAAGAUUGGGACAAUAGGAUAUUUUAAUGCUUGGGAUAAUCCAUGGUGGAUGCCACAAGGUUCUAGAAAAUUUACAAUUAAAAGUGGUUGGACUAUCAUAAGACAGUCUGGGAAUGUCAAUGAGGAUUUAAGGUUUAUAUGGGAAAAGGGUAUACCUUUCAAAGUAUCUUUCUUCUUCUUGAGUUAUGAAAGAAAAUAUUACCUACAGGUGACUUUCUAGUCAGUACAUGAUGGGAAGAAAUGACUAAUUGUGUUUGUUGUGAGUUACCAGUUCAUGAAUCCUAUGAACAUCUCUUUGUUCAGUGUUCUGCAGCUAAUAAUUUGUGGAUAGUUUUUGCAUCAAUAUUGAAGUGUAGGGCCCUUUUCUUCAUUUAAAAUAUGUUAUCUACAAGUGGUGGAAUGCUAAUUAUUGUGCUAAACUUAGGCCCCUAUUUAUUGUUAUUCCUGUUUUCAUACUGUGGAAAAUAUGGAAAGAAGAAACAUCAUCAAACAUGAAGGUAGGAUGUCAAUUCAUGGCAUACAAUAGGAAAUAAAUUGGAAUCUGUAUUUGUUUGCUAAGAUAAGAUAUCCUUGGCUUAAUAAUAUCCCUAGUAACUGGCCUAUGAUGGUUAUGUUCUUGGAAGUUUAUAAACCUAAUAUCCAGGCUACUGUGGUCAAGUGGAAGCCUCCUAUCAAUGGUUUUUAUAAGUGCAAUAUUGAUGGUGCCUCUAAAGAUAACCCUUGUCCUAGUGGUGGUGCUUUCUGUAUUAGAGACAGUAAAGGGAAAUUUAUUUUUGCUAAGUCAUUCUCUUUUGAUAUCUUAACUAACUUAGAGAAAGAAUUUGUUUCCUUUAAGAAGGGUUUAGAGUAACGUGUGAGUCAAAAGUUGUUAACAGUUACUAUGAAAUAGAUUCUCUCAUUCUUAAGAAAAUCCUAGAUGGAAUCUGGGAGAUUUCCUGGAAGGUUUCUAUAUAUAUCAAAAGAAUUCAAUGGUUGAAGAGGCAAUGUCAGGUGGAGGUGUUGCAUACGCUAAGGGAAGGGAACAAACUGGUGAAUUUUUUAGCUAAUGAAGUUUUCUUUUUAGCAGGUACGCAAAAUAUAAUACACAUUGCUACAGGAUAUUGCAGAUGAAGGAAAAAUAAUUAUAAAAAUGGACAAGCAUUAAAUCCCAUCACUGAAGUUUGUCAAAUAACAUUUUUUUCUAUAUAAAAGGCAGUCAUAUUAAAUAACAUACCAGAUCUGAGAUAGCAAAUAACAAGAAAUGCAAAGGUCAAGGCACAUACAGAGGGGGAAUUGAUCCAAAUAGAGGUACAUAUAGCUAUAUUAACAUUGAUUGUCGAGCAAUAAAGUACAAGUACAUAUGUACAUUUUAGACUAGUGCAUGCGACAUGGGUAAAAUACUAAGCUUCAGAAAAGAGGGUUUUGUACCUUUUUCAUGCUUACUCAAAUCAUCUAAGUUAAUGUCCUUUGUCAGUGGUAUCAGCUUCUUGUUGAGCUCAACCUGUCAAGGGUAUGAUUUAGAUAAUCCAAUUUAAACAUUAGAUUAGGUAAUGGAGGAUUUUGGGAAAGAUUUACGUUUACCUGAGGAUCAAAUGUCUCAAUUUGUUCUAAGGGGAGUUGAUGAAGUCUUCCUAUAAUCCGAUUUCAUGGCAUUUGUGAGACAAUUAUAAAUGUCUAAAAUGAAAUUCAUAACUUCACUAAUGGACAGAUUUGAGCUAAAUACAUGGUGUUGGCUUAAGCUUUCCCUUUUAAUCCGUCAGUGAGGCAGUUUCAGCUUUAUAAUCCGUGUGGGGAAGAUGAAAAUGCAUAAGAAUUUUUCUAGAUACUUAUCAUACUUUUUUAUAUGACAUUCAUAGUUGCAACAACUACAGGGGCAUUAAGUUGUUGAGUCACACUAUGAAGAUUUGGGAGAAAGUGGUUGAGCGGAGGUUGAGGAGGAGUGUGUCUAUUUCGGAGAAUCAGUUUGGAUUUAUGCACUGCCGCUCGACGGAGGAGGAAAUUUACCUGGUGUGGAGACUAAUGGAGACGUAUAGGGAGUGAAAGACGGACCUCCACAUGGUUUUC